AAUGGGUAUAGAAACUAAAAAUUUUAUCAGAACUCGAACCGAAAUGAAGCGAAUUUAUUCGAUACUAAAUAGAUAUAGUUUUGGAUAUGAAUAUAAAAAAAUAAAAAUCCGACAGAUUUAGAUUGGGUAUAACAUUUGUCUUUAUCCGACCUGAAUUUGAAUUAAUUUUACACUAUAUAUAUGUUUGAUUUCAUAUUUGAAUUUGUAUUUUAAAAUUUUCUAUUUGACAUAAUACAUUUUGAAAUAUAGUAAGAAAAAAUAAUUAAUUCAAGUUUGGGUUUUUAGGUUUUAAUUCAAAUUUUGAAUUUGAUAAUUGAUUUUAGAUUCAGAUUUUUAAAAAAUUCGCCCCGAAUCCGAC
rnacentral:lncRNA from 1 species